rnacentral:lncRNA from 1 species
UGACAACGAGUUAAGCGACGACCAUCACCACCAUCCACCACCGCCGACUAAGGCCUUGAGGAGCGCAUCCGUCGGGCGGCGACGACCACGGCGGUCGGGGGGCUUCUAGCCACACUUCUUGGCGGAGGUGGAGGAGGCGAAGGCCCAGGUGACGCCGAAGGGGUCGACGAGGGUGGCGCCCAGCCCGCAGCCGUCCUCGGUUACCUCCCCCUGCAGCGCCGCACCGGCGGUCGCCGCCUGCGCCGCGGCAGCGUUCACGUCGUCGGUCUCCAGGCGCAGAACCAGCCCACUAGCGGCGGCGCCUUCCUUGCCCCUGCAACAAACAACAAGCACCAAAAGUGUGAGACUUUGAGCAGGGAACAGAGUUUUAAUGUCCAUUUAUUUGCUCGGUGUUAAGUAAAUAGCAAAACCUCGUACUCCAGAAUACUAGUACUAUGUAACCGAGCAAUAACUGUUUCACAUUUUUCUCCAAAUGAAAUAUAAAAUAAAAGUAUUAAACACAGAUUUCUUUGGAGAGAUGCCACUGCAAUGAGUAGAUCUAUUUUUAUUUUUUUUGAAAAGGUGAGUAGAUCUAUUCUUCUCUAAAAAAUUAUGGCAAUAUCUGAGUUCAAAAACAGUAGCAAACUCAUUUCCUGUGUGCCUUCGCAGUUUCCAAAGUAGACAAAGUACAGAUGAACUGCACGAGGCCAAAAGAGCACCAAAAAGAGUGCAGACAAACAAAGUAGGACAAGGGAGAAAACAAAAAACAAAACAGGGUUCUAUUUCCAUGAUGUUCCACUUCCACACCUUCAGAUCUACAUUAAUAAAUGCUAACAGAAUCACAUGUGGAUGUUGACGUACCGAAAAGAUCUAUGUAAGCGGCCCCAAAAAAACCCCAAGAAACCAGUGCAGAGCAGCAGUGAAGCUGAAGAAUGGUAGUUCCAAGCUAAAACUAACUGGAUCUAAAAUUCCUGACAAGUGCCAAACUGAUUCUCACAAUACUAAAGCAGAUGUUCACAGAUCUACGAACUUCAACGCAAAAUAUGUGACAAGAAACGAAAUAGCAGUGCAUCUACCAUGUAUUACAUGCCAAGAACAACAAAAAAGAAUGGGAACUAGGAAGGAAAGGAGCAGAAAGGGUUUAGCGAGGGUUUCCGGGAGCUUACACGGCGGGGACGUCGUCGCCGGCCUGGUCACAGACGAGCAGGGUCGCCGCGCCGACCUUCAGCUCGGCGCAGAGCAGGGCCGCCGCCUCCCCGUCACCCUUGCGCUUCGGGUGGGUGGAGCGGGACACCUCCUCCGCGGCGAAAGCGGCCUUGUAGAAGGCCACCGCCUCCUCGGCGCGCCCUGCCGGAACCGUCACCUGCACCUUCAGCCCGGAGAACACCGCCGGCGCCGGCACGGCCGCCGGGGCGGCGAGCACCUCAGAGCCGUUGGUCGCCACCUCCGCCAUUGCUCAGGGAAGAUUUGGCUCUCCUUUACUGUUGUGCGUUCCUUUCUCCUUGGGAGCACAGCAGAGUGGG